rnacentral:rRNA from 1 species
UGGCACUGCCCGGUAGCUAAAUGCGGAAGAGAUAAGUGCUGAAAGCAUCUAAGCACGAAACUUGCCCCGAGAUGAGUUCUCCCUGACCCUUUAAGGGUCCUGAAGGAACGUUGAAGACGACGACGUUGAUAGGCCGGGUGUGUAAGCGCAGCGAUGCGUUGAGCUAACCGGUACUAAUGAACCGUGAGGCUUAACCUU